rnacentral:tRNA from 1 species
GCCCGGUUAACUCAAUGGUAGAGUGUCAGGCUUUUAACCUGAAGGUGUAAGUUGAUGCCUACGCAACUUCUGAACAGUAUCAGAUACUAACGUAUAACAGUGCGGGUUCGACCCCCGCAUCGGGCU